GCGGGUGUAGUUCAAUGGUAGAACGGGAGCCUUCCAAGCUCCACACGUGGGUUCGAUUCCCAUCACCCGCUCCA
rnacentral:tRNA from 1 species